rnacentral:rRNA from 1 species
UGACCGCUGGCGGCAUGCCUUACACAUGCAAGUCGAACGGCAGCAUGCUCUAGCUUGCUAGAUUGAUGGCGAGUGGCGAACGGGUGAGUAAUACAUCGGAACGUGCCCUGUAGUGGGGGAUAACUAGUCGAAAGAUUAGCUAAUACCGCAUACGACCUGAGGGUGAAAGUGGGGGACCGCAAGGCCUCAUGCUAUAGGAGCGGCCGAUGUCUGAUUAGCUAGUUGGUGAGGUAAAGGCUCACCAAGGCGACGAUCAGUAGCUGGUCUGAGAGGACGAUCAGCCACACUGGGACUGAGACACGGCCCAGACUCCUACGGGAGGCAGCAGUGGGGAAUUUUGGACAAUGGGCGAAAGCCUGAUCCAGCAAUGCCGCGUGUGUGAAGAAGGCCUUCGGGUUGUAAAGCACUUUUGUCCGGAAAGAAAUGGCUCUGGUUAAUACCUGGGGUCGAUGACGGUACCGGAAGAAUAAGGACCGGCUAACUACGUG